rnacentral:lncRNA from 1 species
AUGGAGAUCCUCCCUUCUACAGCUGUCCUGAGCAUGGAACUAAGUGACGGUAAGUUUCCUCCUCCACUUAGAAUCCCACCCCCUCCCCCAAUUCUUUGCAGGAUAACUCCGGCAGAAAGCCUGGUCUCUCCAGCCCUCUCUGUAAGCAUGAGGAGCCACACAUUCCAUCUCUACCUGUGUCCAGAAAGAGGUUUCCCAGGGAAAGUGUGGAGACAUAGACUGUUUCCAGGCAGCAGUGGAUGCAGGAGGAAGGUGAUAAAGCUGCUCAGGGCCAUGGACAUCAAGGAUGGCAGCUGGGCAGCUGUGCCAGCCUAUGCUCCCUGGGAUCUCUGCUUCCACCUGGGAGCCCAGGGCUUGGAGAGUGACCUACCACCAGCUGUCUGCAGUUUUGACUCCAUCAAGGUCCUGUCCACCUACCAGAUACUCAUGCUGUGGCUCUUGAAUCAGAUCACCUGGGUUAGAACCCUGGCUCCAUCACUUACCCUGCGAGGUAGGGAGAGUUACUUACCCUCUUUGUGCUUCAGCUCUCCCUCCAUCAUAUGAUGAUAAUAAUGUCCAUUUCAUAGGGUGGCUUGGGGGACAAAAUGAGAUAAUCCACACAAAGUCUUAACAUGGGGCUCAUUAAUUUUUAGCUAUUAUCAUUAUAUUAUUUUUUGAAGGCCAUUCCAAGUACUUCUUGCUCCAGGAAGCCUUUCUGAACUACACUAAUGACUGAAAGAUAUUUCCUCUGAUCCAAGAACCAGUAAUGUCUUCUUGCCUUGGGGUAGAGAUGUUGGGACCCCACUAUCCCCAGAUAGAAAGAGGCUGUAAAUGCCUAAAAGGCAAAGAGAAGAAGACAUGGAUAUCCUCCAGUGUCUGAAGUGCUACCCAUUCUGAUGUGUUUAAUGUGCUUCUUUAAAAAAAUUUGAUUUUAUUUUAACAUUUAUUUGUAUUUUAAAAUUUUAUUGGAGUAUAGUGGACUUACAGUGUAUUAGUUUCAGGUGUACAGCAGAGUGAAUCUGGUAUAUUUAUGUAUUGCAGUCUCUCGAGACAAGGCUGGUUCAAUCUGGAUUCAGGCAAUCUGAAGAAGAGCAGAGGCACCUUGGGUAUGUCAGACAUCCCCUUAAUGGCUUCACAAAUGAUGGUGGUGCAGAAAGUCCUGUCCGCCUUUUAUACUGGUACAGAACAAAGCCUGCAAUUUGCCAAGGCGUUACAUAAGGGGUGGUGGUCAUUGAAUUCUACUGCACAUUCACAGGCAUAGUUAUGAUUAGAUAACAGUCCUUCCUGGAACAACAUGGCGGCUAGGCUGAGUAACUAGGCUGAGACUGAGUUACUCCAUUUUCCACACACAUAUAAAUAUAUCCAUUCUUUUUCCCAAUAUAGGUUAUUUAUUUAUUUAUUUAUUAAAUUUUGUCUUUUUAGGCUGCACCUGCGGCAUAUGGAGUUUCCCAGGCUAGGGGUCGAAUCAGAGCUACAGUUGCUGGCCUAUACCACAGCCACAGCAAUGCCAGAUCCAAGCCACAUCUGUGACCAACACCACAUUUCAGAGCAACACUGGUUCUUU